AUCUUCGGCAAUGGGCGCAAGCCUGACCGAGCGACGCCGCGUGCGGGAUGAAGGCCUUCGGGUUGUAAACCGCUGUCGUAGAGGAGGAAAUGCAGGGGGGUUCUCCCUUCUGUUUGACCUAUUCUAGGAGGAAGGACGGGCUAAGUUCGUGCCAGCAGCCGCGGUAAGACGAACCGUCCAAACGUUACUCGGAAUUACUGGGCUUAAAGGGUGCGUAGGCUGCGCGGAAAGUUGGGUGUGAAAGCCCUCAGCUCAACUGGGGAACUGCAUUCAAAACUACCGUGCUCGAGGGAGACAGAGGUAAGCGGAACUCAAGGUGGAGCGGUGAAAUGCGUUGAUAUCUUGAGGAACACCGGUGGCGAAAGCGGCUUACUGGGUCUCUUCUGACGCUGAGGCACGAAAGCUAAGGUAGCAAACGGGAUUAGAUACCCCGGUAGUCUUAGCUGUAAACGAUGAGCACUUGUUUGAAGGGUCCUCCAUAGCCUUUCAGACGUAGCGAAAGUGUUAAGUGCUCCGCCUGGGGAGUAUGGUCGCAAGGCUGAAACUCAAAGAAA
rnacentral:rRNA from 1 species